rnacentral:rRNA from 1 species
ACAUCCAGCGAACUUGGCAGAGAUGCCUUGGUGCCUUCGGGAACGCUGAGACAGGUGCUGCAUGGCUGUCGUCAGCUCGUGUUGUGAAAUGUUGGGUUAAGUCCCGCAACGAGCGCAACCCUUAUCCUUUGUGCCAGCGAUUCGGUCGGGAACUCAAAGGAGACUGCCGGUGAUAAACCGGAGGAAGGUGGGGAUGACGUCAAGUCAUCAUGGCCCUUACGAGUAGGGCUACACACGUGCUACAAUGGCGCAUACAAAGAGAAGCGACCUCGCGAGAGCAAGCGGACCUCAUAAAGUGCGUCGUAGUCCGGAUCGGAGUCUGCAACUCGACUCCGUGAAGUCGGAAUCGCUAGUAAUCGUGGAUCAGAAUGCCACGGUGAAUACGUUCCCGGGCCUUGUACACACCGCCCGUCACACCAUGGGAGUGGGUUGCAAAAGAAGUAGGUAGCUUAACCCUCGGGAGGGCGCUUACCACUUUGUGAUUCAUGACUGGGGUGAAGUCGUAACAAGGUAAGCGUAGCGAG